rnacentral:rRNA from 1 species
GACAGAGGCCCCGAGCGUUAGCCGGAAUCACUGGGCUUAAAGCGUGUGUAGGCGGUUCGUUAAGUACCUUGUGAAAUCCCACGGCUCAACCGUGGAACGGCUGGGUAUACUGGCGGUCUUGGGCCAUUCAGGGGCGACUGGAACAAGCGGUGGAGCGGUGAAAUGCGUAGAUAUCGCUUGGAACGCCGAAGGUGAAAACAGGUCGCUGGGGAUGUGCCGACGCUGAGACACGAAAGCCAGGGGAGCAAACGGG